rnacentral:rRNA from 1 species
UACGGGGGGGGCAAGCGUUGUUCGGAAUUACUGGGCGUAAAGGGCUCGUAGGCGGCCAACUAAGUCAUACGUGAAAUCCCUCGGCUUAACCGGGGAACUGCGUCCGAUACUGGAUGGCUUGAGAUUGGGAGAGGGAUGCGGAAUUCCAGGUGUAGCGGUGAAAUGCGUAGAUAUCGUAAGGAAGACCAGUGGCGAAGGCGGGUCUCUGGACAGUUCCUGACGCUGAGGCACGAAGGUCAGGGGAGCAAACGGG